GAAUCAGAUGAUGAAUUUGGAUUAAUCAUCUCACGACGGUCGUCUGAGACACUUUUGUGUGUCGACGCUGAAACGAUCCAAGCUUCUGAUGGUU